GACGAACGCUGGCGGCGUGCCUAAUACAUGCAAGUCGAGCGAACAGACGAGGCGCUUGCUCUUCUGACGUUAGCGGCGGACGGGUGAGUAACACGUGGAUAGCCUACCUAUAAGACUUGGAUAACUUCGGGAAACCGGAGCUAAUACCGGAUAAUAUAUUGAACCGCAUGGUUCAAUAGUGAAAGACGGUUUUGCUGUCACUUAUAGAUGGAUCCGCGCCGGAUUAGCUAGUUGGUAAGGUAACGGCUUACCAAGGCGACGAUGCGUAGGCGACCUGAGAGGGUGGUCGGCCACACAGGAACUGAGACACGGUCCAGACUGCUACGGGAGGCAGCAGUAGGGGAUCUUCCGCAAUGGGCGAAAGCCUGACGGAGCAACGCCGCGUGAGUGAUGAAGGUCUUCGGAUCGUAAAACUCUGUUAUUAGGGAAGAACAAAUGUGUAAGUAAAUAUGCACGUCUUGACGGUACCUGAUCAGAAAGCAACGGCUAACUACGUG
rnacentral:rRNA from 1 species